rnacentral:rRNA from 1 species
UACGAAGGGGGCUAGCGUUGUUCGGAAUGACUGGGCGUAAAGGGCGCGUAGGCGGCUUGUACAGUCAGGCGUGAAAUUCCCGGGCUCAACCUGGGGGCUGCGCUUGAGACGUGCGAUCUUGAGUGGGGAAGAGGGUCGUGGAAUUCCCAGUGUAGAGGUGAAAUUCGUAGAUAUUGGGAAGAACACCGGUGGCGAAGGCGGCGACCUGGUCCUUUUACUGACGCUGAGGCGUGAAAGCGUGGGGAGCAAACAGG